UACGAAGGGUGCAAGCGUUGCUCGGAAUUAUUGGGCGUAAAGGGUAGGUAGGUGGUUACGUAUGUCUGAAGUGAAAUCCCUGGGCUUAACCCAGGAAGUGCUUUGGAAACGGCGUAACUAGAGUUCUGGAGAGGUUCGUGGAAUUCCCAGUGUAGCGGUGAAAUGCGUAGAGAUUGGGAGGAACAUCAGAGGCGAAGGCGGCGAACUGGACAGAUACUGACACUGAACUACGAAAGCGUGGGGAGCAAACAGG
rnacentral:rRNA from 1 species